GUAGGUGAACCUGCGGAAGGAUCAUUAUUGAAUAAGCUUGGUUGGGUUGUUGCUGGCUCUUCGGAGCAUGUGCACGCCUAACACCAACCUUUUACCACCUGUGCACCUUUUGUAGACCUGGAUAUCUCUCGAGGAAACUCGGUUUUGAGGACUGCUGUGCGCAAGCCGGCUUUUCCUUACACUUCCGGUCUAUGUUUUACACACCCCAGUAUGUUUAAGAAUGUUAUCAAUGGGCUUAAUUGCCUUUAAACCUUAUACAACUUUCAACAACGGAUCUCUUGGCUCUC
rnacentral:misc_RNA from 1 species